GAUCCUGGCUCAGGAUGAACGCUAGCUACAGGCUUAACACAUGCAAGUCGAGGGGCAGCAUUUCAGUUUGCUUGCAAACUGGAGAUGGCGACCGGCGCACGGGUGAGUAACACGUAUCCAACCUGCCGAUAACUCGGGGAUAGCCUUUCGAAAGAAAGAUUAAUACCCGAUGGUAUAAUCAGACCGCAUGGUCUUGUUAUUAAAGAAUUUCGGUUAUCGAUGGGGAUACGUUCCAUUAGGCAGUUGG
rnacentral:rRNA from 1 species